AUCGCGACCUCAGCUCAGGCGGGGCUACCCGCUGAGUUUAAGCAUAUCAAUAAGCGGAGGAAAAGAAACUAACAAGGG
rnacentral:rRNA from 1 species